CGAUCGAAGGAUCAAAAUGAAAGUUAAUCUCAGAGCUGAAGAGGGUUGACACAUAAAAAAAAUUAGAAAAUAAUAUCAAGAGUUUUCGCUAUUCAAUUUAUAUGUCUAUAUUAUGUUAUAUAUAUAUAUAUAUGUAUACCAGGAAUAUUAUGAGGGUAUCUUUUUUUUUCCUUGAUUUCUCUCUCUCUAGCAAGUAGGUGAUUUCUGUUGAUUUUCUGAUAUAAAAAAUUUGUUAAAUACAGCAAAAAUAAAUUCUGGAACAAAAGGGGAGCUUUGAAAUUUGGACUGAUAAUGAAGAAUUAAAUGAAUUUUGGAUAACAGACACAACCAGAGUCAAUAAAUUCCUUCCAACUUGCCCAAAAUAUUAUCACCUCUCAAACUUUUC
rnacentral:lncRNA from 1 species